GGGUACAUAUUCAUAAUGAAAAAAUGAAAAAGCCUAUUUUCAUUAAUACAGGUUUUCCUUAAAAAGAUGAAAGACAUCUUGAGAAGUGGGAAAAUGUAGUCUAAGAGAGCAAUAAAUGAUGGGCAACAGUGAAGGGCAAAACGCCACAGCUACAUUUGUAGUAAUCAUUUCGAUGCAUGUGACUACACUCAUGGGUCGAUCCAGGAAGGUUUUUCUAGGGGGGGGGUGCUGGGUGAGCAGCCGAGUGUUCCUUUAUAAUUCUUUAGGGGGUGGUGGGAGAGCAUUCAAAUAAAUUGGCUUCCUAACGACUUGAGCGCCGAAGGCGCAAGCUCCCUAGGGGUCCAGGGGGUAUGCCCUCCAGAACAUUCUGAAAAUUAAAACCCUAGAAAUGCCAUUUCCUGCGAUAUGGGCAUUGAAUGAUGAGCUUCAG